ACUCGGAGAGGCAUCCUGUCCACAGUGAAUAGUCUUUAUGACCCCUUGGGUUCGUGGCUCCAAUAACAAUGCAAGGUAAAGCCUUAAUCAGAGAACUCUCUUCUGAUCAGAGUGAGUGGGAUGUCCCUCUUCCAACAGAAAAAGAAGAGAAAUGGAAACAGUGGAAGCAAGUCCAGUGUCUCGCUGACACCUUUUGGAAAAGGUGGAGACAGGAGUUCCUGACAACGCUGCAGAGACGCAGAAAAUGGACAGCAGAAAAGCCAAAUGUAAAAGUGGGAGAUGUUGUCUUAUUGAAAGACAGUCAGGCACACAGAAAUGACUGGCCAGUCGGGCUUGUGGUCAAAACCUUUCCCAGUACUGACAAAAAGGUUAGGAAAGUAGAACUAAAAAUUGUCAAGCAAGGAGCUGCUAAGGUGUUUCUGAGACCAAUCUCAGAGAUUGUUGUUCUUCUUUGUGAAGCAUCCUAGAGACAAAAGAUAAAAAUAGAUAGGACAUUAUUUGUUUCUUGAUAUGUUUUAUUUCAUAGUGGCACAAUUUCAUUAUACCAGGCGGGGAGUGUGCUGCCAUCCUGUUAGAAGAUAACAGAUUAUUUUAUUACAAUGGUUAAAUUGGAUUUUCAUUGUGUUCAAUGGUGUUAUUUGCCCCCUAGUGGCGCUUUCUGGUACUUAGAAAGUCAACGCAAACGGAAGUUCAGAAUUUGUUUUGCACGCAUAGAAGCAGCUACAAACAACGCUACGGUGCAGGUCUUUCAAUGUAGUUAUUUCUUGUCACGCUUCAGCCUUGGAAAAAUAUUUGUUUUUUCACAACAUAAACGUUUCAAUAUAUUCAUUCAAGAAAA